rnacentral:ncRNA from 1 species
GACGAGCAUGGAGGCGACGAUGCGCGGACCCCGACCCGGCCGCCGCGACCGCGCUGAGCCACUGGCGAGCCCGACCGUGCUGGAU